CCUACGGGUGGCAGCAGUGGGGAAUAUUGCACAAUGGGGGAAACCCUGAUGCAGCGACGCCGCGUGAAGGAAGAAGUAUUUCGGUAUGUAAACUUCUAUCAGCAGGGAAGAAAAUGACGGUACCUGACUAAGAAGCCCCGGCUAACUACGUGCCAGCAGCCGCGGUAAUACGUAGGGGGCAAGCGUUAUCCGGAUUUACUGGGUGUAAAGGGAGCGUAGGCGGUUCAGCAAGUCAGAAGUGAAAGCCCGGGGCUCAACUCCGGGACUGCUUUUGAAACUGUUGAACUAGAGUGCAGGAGAGGUAAGUGGAAUUCCUGGUGUAGCGGUGAAAUGCGUAGAUAUUAGGAGGAACACCAGUGGCGAAGGCGGCUUACUGGACUGUAAAUGACGCUGAGGCUCGAAAGCGUGGGGAGCAAACAGGAUUAGAUACCCUUGUAGUC
rnacentral:rRNA from 1 species